rnacentral:lncRNA from 1 species
GGUUUGAUUUUACAAAUGUCUGCGUAUAGCUUUUCUGUUUUCUUUGUUGUAUCAUGGUAACUUUCAUCCCUCAUGAGGCACAGUUAUUACAGGGAACAUCUUAGGUUUGUACCCGUAUGGUGUAAUAUAGAGUUGCAGAGAAGACGCCCGUGGACCUUCGGUGGCAGUUUCACCUGGGUCAGGAGUUGCUGUGUUAAAUUCUCUCCUAAGGAGAGUCUCAAAUGAAGCUAUUGGGUUGUCCAGCAUCUGGCACCGGGCCCA